UACGUAGGUGGCAAGCGUUGUCCGGAGUUAUUGGGCGUAAAGCGCGCGCAGGCGGUGCGGUAAGUCUCUGGUGAAAGCGCUCGGCUUAACUGGGCGAGGGCCGGGGAGACUGCCACGCUGGAGGGGAGCAGAGGCGAGUGGAAUUCCGGGUGUAGUGGUGAAAUGCGUAGAGAUCCGGAGGAACACCAGUGGCGAAGGCGGCUCGCUGGGCUCUACCUGACGCUGAGGCGCGAAGGCGUGGGGAGCGAACGGG
rnacentral:rRNA from 1 species